GUUACAGUAUUUCCCGUCCUUGACAAGAUCAAAGUACAAUGUUCUUGCUUCUUGAAUAGUGGAUGGCUUGUUGUGGGCCCUCUGGAAUACUUGGAAGUGUAUUUGGGUAUUUGGGUAGUGAGGUGCAUCCAUGUUCUCCAAAUACAAGGAAAGGGCAUUUGAUGAAAGCUUGUUGCAACUCAGUUUCAUGAAGUAAGGGGAAGUUGAAAGCAAUGCUAAUAGAGUUUUCAUUUGGAAUAAUAUUAUACAAGAUGGGAUGCCCUUGAUUAUGAAGGUGAUGUGAAAUUGCUAUCUCUGUUAAUAGAAUCAUAGAGACCAUUCAGUUUUAUAUAAUAAAAUGACAGGCAUGUCCAAAUUUGAGUAACCGCUUUUCUCAUGUUCAAGCUGUUUUCAUUUCUUCCCAUGUACCUUGAAAGCAUUUAAAUCACAGACUUUACCUUGCCCUUGAUUAUGAAGGUGAUGUUAAAUUGCUGCCUCUAUUAAUCCUUGGAAUGUUUAAAUGAAUGUUCUAAUUGAUGGAUCAAAGUGUCCGUGACCCGUAGCCCUGUACUUUCCCUUUGCUGCCAGUUCUCACAUUAGGUGAGAAGACAUCAUUCAGAAUUUUCCUGAGAGUAUAAAUAGUUUUAUUGUGUAACCCCUGUUAGUAGCACAUGUGCAAAUUAGUGAAGCAAAAAAAGGUAUUGUGACAGGUUUAGUUGAAAGAUCGUAUUGGGCUCUGACCUUCUUCCUGGUGCAUGUUUAUAAGCUUUUGAUAAAAUGAUUAAACCCUAAGGUAUAACAUUAUUUAUUACUUUCUGCUGUGGUACAAUUUGUAUGGUAAAUGGAUAUUAGUGUGUUCUUUAAUGUAAUAAAAAAAAAUCUUUUUUUUUUUUUUUUUUAAGGUAGUUUGAGGUAUAUUUAGACAAACCUCUUUGUCUUUGUUAGUGAAUUAUCUUUUUAGGUCAGCAGGGAGAGACCUUCAAAGAAUGGGCCACAAAUCUCACUCUUAAAGGUUAAUGUGCUUUCUUAAGUAUUUAGAUAUAAAAAUGGAUCUGGACUUGAUUUUAAAAGGUACUCUACAUAUGUAUUUUUCAAGUUAUGGUUUAUCUUUUCCCCUAAUGAUAACGUAACAUUUGUUAUCCUUUCUGUCUCUAUGCCAUGAGAAUCUUUGACUCGGCACCCUGGGUAUUCCUCUUACUGUCAGAGGGUAGCUCUUCAAAUAAGUAAAAUUUAUGAUAAAUCAAAGGAGAUCAAUUCUGACUAGAAUGAUCUAUGACGUUAUCAUAAGGAAAACAAUUACUCAGUUGAGGCUUGAAGGGGAAUAUUGAACAGGUGGCAAGGAAAGGAUUCAGAAGGAAAAUCAUGUUCUUGAGUUGGGUGACAAAUCCCUUAAGAUCAUUGGUUUGACUCAGAGGGACUCUCAUGCAAGAUGAAGUUGGAAAAGUCAGUACGGUCCUUUGAUAACUGCUGGGCUAAGAAGUUGGUCUUCAUGUAGCAAGAAGUCUUUGGAAGGUCUUUGACCAGGUAAGCGCUUGAUUUCCGUGCUCCUUUGGUAAUACUAACCAGACAGUGGAUGCGAGGCUUGACCAGGGGGUGAGGAACAAGAAGCAGUAGUAGGAAAUGGGAGGACUAUGUAAGUGAAAGAGAAAAGAUAGGGGGUGCAAGCAAGUCACUGAAAGAUUAGACCUGGACUAGCGAGUGACUGGUGUAUUCGUUUGCUAGGGCUGCCGUAACACAGAACUACAGACUGAGUGGUUCCACAGAAGUUGAUUUCCUCACAGUCUGGAGGCUGCAAGUGUGAGAUCGGGGUGCCCGCACGGUUGGCCUGUCUUCCCUCUCCACAUCCGUGUCUCAGUCUCCUUUUCUUAUAAAUCACAUUGCAUUAGGGCUCACCGUAAUGAUUUCGGUUUAAUUUAAUUACCUCUUUGAAAACCCUUUGUCCAAAUACACUUUCUGAUACCGGUCAUUAGAUCUUCAACAUACGAAUUUGGUUGGGGAGGAGCCCCUUCAGCCCGUGACACCUGGAUUUAGGCACUAGGGAAAACCAGAAAUAGAGGUUUAGCAGAUUGGAAAACUGGUGGAGGCUCGAUUUUUAUAGAGAGAGGUAAAUCUGGUUUUAGAUGAACAGAAUCACUCUCCUAAAAGCCCUGUGCAGCUGCCAUGUCAUUCAGCCUGGACUAGCCUGCUGGCAAAUGAGAGGCUGCAGGGAACACAAAAAUAAAUGUCUUGCUGACUUACUUUCUCCAAGACAACAUGGAGCUGGAGGUUAGGCUUCGUGUUUUUGUUUUUGUUUUUUUUAAGUUUAUUUAUUUAUUUUGAGAGAGACAGAAAGAGUACAAGUGGGGGAAGGACAGAGAGAGAAGGAGAGAGAGGAUCCCAAGCAAGCUCCACACACACUCAGCAUGCAGAGCCUGACACAGGGCUUGAACCCAUGAAACCAUGAGAUCACAACCUGAGCCAAAUUAAGAGUUGUCACUCAACCGACUGAGCCACCUGGGAGCCCCUAGACUUAGUUUUAAUCAGAGCCUCAGCAGCUUCAUUCUCUGUUACCUUUAUAAGAUCUUAUUCUUUAUUAAAUUCUACUCUCAUUUGGCGUGGUAAAGAAUUUGGCUUUUCCCAAAGAGAGGUCUGGCCUAUAUACUCAUCUUCUGGGAGAGGGAAUUUGGAAUCCUUUGGAAUUUCCCAAGUGAUGGAAGUGUUUCAUUAGUCACGAUGGGCCCUUUGGGCCAUGUGUUGUCAAACCAAUCUCUGGGGAAGUGGUGCUGGAGACUGAAUUCAGCCACAUGAGCGAUCAGUCAAGCAAACCUAUGCGAUGAGGCCCCAGUGUAACUCUGGACACUGAAAUUUGGGUGAGCUUCUCUGGUUGAUUCUCUGUGCAUAUUGUCACAGGUUGAUGCCAGGGGAGUAGAGCAUCUUGAGGAGAGUGGAAACUUUGCAUUUAGAACUCUCCCAGAGUCCAUCCUAUGUAUCUCUUCCUUUGGCUAACUCUCUGUGUCAUUUCCCAUGAUAAGCCAUAACUGUGAGUUUAGUAACUUUCUGUGAGUUCUGUGAAUACUUUUAGUGAAUUAUUAAGGCUGGAGCAGUUUUGGGAACCCCUUGAACUUGCAGAUGAUGCCAGGGUGGGGACAGUCUUGGAGACUCUGCCCUUGGACUUGGCAGUUUGGCCAACUCUGGUACAAACAAAACCCCAGGUUUUUACAUACUGUGAAGGAGUUUUAAGAGCUAGUUUUUCAGAGAGUGGCUUCCAUUAUAUUAGUCCCCCCCCCCCGCCGCCCAAUACUACCUGCUAGAUGGAGCUUCUUAGAAAGUUUGUAUUUUGAUUUGUGGUGAGUUUGUUAGCUUCAUGCGUAGGAAGAGAUAGUGCCUUGACUAUAAGAGAUGCUUACCAUCUUUGAAGGCACGGAAGUUACUCAGUGGAACUUUGUUUCUCCUUAGAGACCUGAGCAUCUCAGGUAAUCCUGGCGGCUUCAGUCUUUUGCAAGGCAGUAUACUGUAUCCUUUUCAUUGCAUGACAUUGUUGAUUUCAGCAUUGUUGAUCUCAACAGGCUCUGAAGAACUUUGGGGAGGAUUUAGUUAAUUUUAUUUGACGGGAGUGUUCAUUUGGGUGCAUCUUGGUUACAGGAGAUGGAAGCUUUUUAAAGUGCAAUUUCAAGGGUGUUAUUACUCACCUGAUAGAGGGGCACACAAAAUCAUUAUAAAGUUGUUUUGUUUUAACGUUUAUUUAUUUUUGAGAGACAGAGAAGGAGCAGGGGAGGAACAGAGAUAGAGGGAGACACAGAAUCCGAAGCAGUCUCCAGGCCCUGGGCUGUCAGCACAGAGCCCAACGCGGGGCUCGAACCCACGAACCGUGAGAUCAUGACCUGAGCCGAAGUCAGUUGCUCAACCGACUGAGCCACCCGGGCGCCCCCACACAAAAUCAUUGUAAAGAGAAAGAAAGCUAAGAGCAUUUGAGGUGGCACGUGAUAAACACCAGUCACAUCCAUGCGUCCCGCCAGGAUAGCUAAUGGAAUUAUUUUAAGGAUGCUUAAAUAUUAACUCACCCUUCAGUCUUUCAGUUUAUAGUUUUGGCAGGAACCCAUUGAAACACUUUAGAUUUAAUGGGAUUUUUCCUCCUAUUUUAUUGCCGCGUCAUUCAUUCAGAGAGCUCCUGUGUGACAUGCCCUCCGAGUUCUGAGUACAUAGCUCUGAGGAGACAGGUAGGACCUCGCCAGUGUGGAACUCAGAGUCCACCAGAGAGAGCAGGAGGAAGACAGAACUUUACAAUAGAGAGCAUCUGAAAAACCCCAAAUUAGUUCUACUGUAAUGGAAUAAUUGUGUCCCUAAUAAGUUAUUAAAAAUACUGUUCACCAUUUUUUUCAGUAAGAAUCAAUUUGGAGAUUAAGAAUGUGGGCUGUUUAUUUUCCUGCAAGAACUUUUCCCGACCACAAUCGCUUUAAGAUUUUAUCUAUAAAACCCAAAUCACUUAGCAAACCCAGCAGUUUUUUUUUUUUUCUUUUUUUUUACGUCUAGCUUUUAUUCAAAAGGUAACCGUUACUCACCCAGUCCAACUAAAAAGUCACUGUUGGCAGUUCCAGUCACCUUUUAUCACCCUUUGUUAAUAUGUGUUAAAUAGAGCCAUUUAUGGUGCUAAUUCUUAGUUACGUGCUGCUAGGACCCUAGUACUGUGUCACAUAGCUCAGCAUACCGAGAAUUACGUUCCAUAUUAAUCCUUAUUUUCCACCUGAUAGGUCAUUAAUUAAACAAACUAAUACAUCAAGUAAUGUUACACUGACGGUGCUUUGCAUUGGUCUAGCACAAGGUAAAUGCCCAGGGCGUAUUUGAUUUUAUUAGUUUUCAUUGUUAAAUAUAUUGUGAUGAUAUAAUUUUAUUAUUAUGUCCAUUCAAGUUACGCAGCUGUGCACCACAGGAGAAGUUUCUGUAUGCUUCCAGACAAAAUCUACAUGAUGUUAAACAAAAAAGCUUGCCCUGCAAGCUCCAGAUACUCAUCCAUCAGUCUGAUCCAUAUGAUUAAAAGUGAAAUAAGUUUCUGCUUUAAAGCUGAAUAAUUGACAGUAUCUAAUAAAUCAUUAUAUAGAAGUUGGGACAAACACCCAAAACUUACAAUAUUAAAGCACAAUAUAAAAAUAA